rnacentral:rRNA from 1 species
UACGUAGGGUGCAAGCGUUGUCCGGAAUUAUUGGGCGUAAAGAGCUCGUAGGCGGUCUGUUACGUCGGCUGUGAAAACCUGGGGCUCAACUCCGGGCCUGCAGCCGAUACGGGCAAGCUAGAAUUCGGUAGGGGAGACGUGGAAUUCCUGGUGGUAGCGGUGGAAAAUGCGCAGAUAUCAGGAGGAACACCGAUGGCGAAGGCAGGUGGC